GGAAGACUAAAGAGAGGUUAUUGGGUUGAGCUGCCUGCUGCCUCUUGCUGCUUUUGGAUUAUGGAUCCUGGGGCUCGGAUAAAAGGGAAAACACCCUCGCUGCACACUGGUUCCUCCAUCAGCCUCCAAAGGAGCCUGUGAUAACCGCAUUAAGGCACUAUGACUUGGCUCUUACGUGGGACCCUGAAGCAACCACAGCACAGCAAUUCUUUGAGCUGAAGAAAUGAAUACAUAAAAUAAAAAGGCACUUUCCAAAGGGACCAAUCUUACAAUCUGAAAGAAAAGCUUCUCUGAUAAACGGGCACAAUAUUGGCUGUUGAGGGAAAGUAUCUGUUUGGGGAAACUGCCAAAAGGAUUAGGCAUUCAGUUUCCGCCAGUUAAUCAUUUACAGUUAUGAGUCCAGGCAGAUCACUAAGAUCCACCACAAAGAGAUAAGAAAGUUGGAGAGCAACAGAGGAACCAUUUACAAGUGCAAAGUCUAGAGAUGAGUCCACGUGGCCAAUGCAAUGGCUCUCAUGGUUCCGCUGUCCCCACUGGGGGCCAUGGCUUGAAGGCAGGAUCAUUUUCCUUCAAGACAUUGCCUCUCUGGAUUGCCUGUUAGCCUAGCAAAAAUCUUGGAAGGAAAUUAGCUCAAAGAAGGACUUCCUGUAUCUAUCUGGAAGAGAUACCUCUAAGCUUUCUUUCAAAUAGUAAUAAAUGCUUGAAAUGCGCCCUCAUCCAGGUAGAAAUUUCCUGCUGACAUCACUUUACCAGCUAUAGCAAGAGGAAGAGUUCCUGAGCCAGGAAUCACCUGUGCCACAGCAGUGACAAUGCUGGGAUCCUUAACCCACUGAGCCACCUGGGGCCUCCUAAAGCAUGAUUUUAAAGUUGUCAUCAUAUCACAUCCUGUGGCUUCAUCAUUGUUCAUUCUUCUAUUCCCUCGGUAUGGGGCAACUAGUCUCCUUAUGAUUUUGCUACUGUAAAUAAUACUAUAACAUACUUUCCCCUCAUACAUCUGUGGCGUUUUAAUAGGGGACAUUUGAAGACUCCCAAGAAAUGUCUCUUUAACACAAAACUGCAGAAAUCGGUUACAGGAGGAGUUAUAAUUUUGAAGGAAAAAGACUUUUGCUUCACUUGCCUGCUAAAAAGGUGAACUACCUUUGUGUGUGGCUGAGGUCAGAGAUGGAUGAAGCAACUGCUAGGUGAUCACCGAGGUAGGAGGAAAGAGGGGUGAGAAAGCUGACCAGUCUUCAACUAGUAAAUGGAGAUCACAGGCUUCCUAUCUUCCACUUUCCACCUAUCAUUCCAAAACGGAAGUAAGGCUGGCCCCUCGUGUGUGUUCAUGUCCACUCUUCCCAUUGUCUGACUUGAGACACACACUGUAUAAACCCUCGAUGACAGGCUGCUAAAGGAAGAGCUAAACCCAUGAAUUAAGAGUUCCUCAAAGAGAGGUGUGGCUGAGGCAGAAGUGACAGCUUCAUCCCCUCCCAGCUUCCAUUGUUCCUGAGUACUCAGUAGAUGUACUUAGUACUUAGUAGAUGUACUUAGUACUUCAGAUGACUGCUGUUGGGCAAGUUCUUCCCAGUAGAAAUCUGCAGAAGGACCCUGCCUCCCCCUAGUGGAUGUUAGCGCGAGGUGAACAGGCGGAUUCUCCUGCAAGGUCCAGAAGCCAAGAAUCGUGUCCUUACAUGCCCUCCUGAGAUAAUGGAAGCUGUGUUUCUGGAGGAGACUCCUCCCACUCCAUAGAAGCUCUUGUCUUUCGCCAGCCAUCUGUGUCUACUGCUGCCACAAGACAAGACAUCAGGGGAUGUUUUCUCCUUCAGGGCACUAUCCCAGGCUCUUUUCUUUUUUAAAUUACUUCAGCAAUCUACUGGUUGUGCUUCUUUUUCACCAGUGUUAGAAACUUCUGUCCAGAUUCACUUUAUGCUGUGUCAUGAGGCGUUGCUAAUACAAACAGAGGCCAGAAGAAAGCAGCUGGGAGCCCGAGAAUAUUCAGAUAAAUUAUUGGAAAGUAUCAUAAAGUCACUUCCUUUUGCUUUCUUGUAAAUGUGAAAUUUUAGGAACAUUCAGAAAAACAGAAGAGAAUAUUUACAAGAGUUACCAGCAAAUCCUCUACUUAAGGCUACGUCCAAAGACUCUACGAUAUUAUUUCCGGAGCUUAGCCAGGCCCCUCAGAUAACCACGUUGCUAUUUUCAGAAUGAAGUGAGAAGCGUUCAUAAAUGAAUUGUCUAAACCCUUUAUUGAUCUCUUGACGAGCUUAUAAAGAAGUCUAGCUGUAGCCAGAGGAGGGGACUGGCUCCUGUAGAGAACUUCCUUCCUCCCUCCCUCCUUGCCUCCCACCUGCUUACCUACCUCCCACCUCCCUACCUAGCUCUCUACCAAACUAGCUAUUUGCUUCCCUCUCUUCCUUCCUGCCUACCUACCUACAGCAAACUGCUCGUGCUCGAAAGCUGGGUCUAGGUUUUCUUACUUGCAAAAUCAGAAGACUGAAUUCGAUGAGAUGUAAGCAGCUCUUCCAGUUAUAACUGGAAUGAAAAAACAGCACUGGGCCUCCUCUUAGAGAGGAAUCUACGAGAAGGUUCCUUCUCUCUGUCCACUAUCAUCAUGGUUUGCUCAUGAUCUAAGGUGAGUUCCAACAGCAAUGCAGGAACUAUUUCCUUUUUCUAAUUCUUCGCUCAAGUUCCCCUGGAUAGUCCAUCGCUUUUACAACCAGGGCAUCUGAGCAACUCAGCCAGUGCUUGCUGACCAACAGGCAGCCUUCUAGGACUCAGUGCAUCGUCACAGUGGCUGGAGAAAAAUGUCCCCUAUUUUAUGGGAAUCUUAAGACCAAGUCUGCUAUACUCAAAUUCUUUGCCUUUUAUUUAAAGUGAGAUCAGAGUGAACACUAUAGCUCUGACCUGUGCAAAUACAAUAAGCACUUCAGUCCAGAAACAGUUUUACCUCUUUUAUUAGGUUGGGUUUUCAGUUUGUGUUUGAAGAGGAGCUAUUUAUGUUCUUGCAAACAAAGUGCUGGAGGAAUGGAAUUUAAAGGAUGUCCUUGAACGAAUUCAGGGGGUUUUAUUUCAAGAGGCUAAUAAGCUGUGUAUUAACCCUUCAUCUUCUGGUGCAUAUCAUCUCCACAUUGCUCCCCUGAUGCCUGGGAGAGAUGAGUGGUCAGGCGGCCUUGAGAAAGUCACUCCCUCCGUGUGCUGGCUUGUGACUGGAAAAUGAGAGGGCUGAUGGUGACAGCCUGACCACAGGGAAGGAAAAGAAGUUCAAGAUGCACAAGUCUGCUGUGGGAGAGAUGGGGCCUACUGACAAAGACUCAGUUAUUUGGCUCAUUCGUGACUUGGUGUUUUCAGACCUUAGUCACAACUAUCCUGGUGAAAGAAUGCAUGAGCUUAAAAAAAAUAGAAGUAGCCUAUCACAGCUUCGGUGUGCCUGAUACAAAGUCAGAAGAGAGCUGCAGAUUUUAUCAUAAAAUCUGUCGGACAAAAGUGCAGUUAGCCAGGCGGGGUUAAUUGGAACGCUCGCAGACCACUCUCCUGCCUCUUUAGUGUAGACAGUGGGCCCCGGGAUUUCACCAAGUCACUUUGUUUUUAGCUUUCCCUCUACUAGCCAAAGCUUAGUCAUUUGACAUCUCUUACUUCUGGAUUAGAGAAAGUAAGAAAAAUAUUUUAUUUGGUCAUUUGGCUACCUUUUUAAAAGUCUGACAGGAGAGACAGUUGAAUCUGCUGUUAGAAAAGGGCAGAUUCCCAAAAUAUCUGCACAUGAUGUUAAUAGAGGCGACUCCAGAAAAAAGGUUUGUGCUCAAGUGAAUUUAGUUAGCAUUUCUCAGAGUGAACAAAGUAAUCCCUGUUCUUACUGGAACCUCAGCUGACCCUGCUGCUGUGUCAUCCCAUGACUGGUGACAGAAGGAAUGAGAGCCUCCUCGUGCCCCCUGGCACUUGGACUUGGUUGGAGUAAAGUGGCUGGUCAGUUGCGAGGGACUACAUGUCUCCUGGUGAAAUGACUGGAUGCCAGUGUUGCAAAAAUGGCUGCAUUCAGAGUUGCAGGCACCUCAUUAUGCAUUGUCCUCUGCAAUCUCUGCUGCUGCUGCCAGGUAGCACUGGACAAGAGAGCCCUGCCCUGGGCCCCAUGUUUAAGAAAACCCCUCUCUGGCUCACCUCCAAAGGGCCCUCCCCAAAGGGCAAGGAAGCUAUGCCUGCCCAGAGCCCAUGGCCCAACUUCUUUCUAGACCAGCGGCUUUCAGAAUGUGGUCUCCCAAACAGCAGCAUCACAUCAUCGAGGAAUUUGUUAGAAAUGCAGAUUCUUGGACCCCAGUCAGAACUACUCCACCAGAAACUCUGAAGGAUGGGACCAGCAAUCCGCAUCUGAGGAGCCUUCUUGGGGAUUCUGCCUGCUAAAAUUUGAAAGUUGCUGUUCUAAUCUAGGCCAGUCUCUGGGGUCUAACACCCAGAGAUUUCCUGCUCCAAUGGCUCUCCAGGGCUUGCACAGGCCUCUUCAUCAGGUUUGAGGAUAGAUGUGCCUCCAGUGGCCAAAAGCAGAUCUUGGAGGAAGCUGGGAGACUGAACUUGAAUCUGGUGGGCUGGGUUGUUCACGAGCAUACUUCAAGUGUCUAAGUCAUGUGAAAGGACAUUUUUCAAAGUAUGAGGUUAAAAUAUGCUUUAUUUAGCAGCCUGUUAAUUUGAUUUAUAAUGUUGAAAUAUUUAGUUAUGUGGUAGAUAGACUUUUUUUUUUUUUUUUUUUUUUUUUUUUUUUUUGGCUUUUUGCCUUUUCUAGGGGCCCUCCUGCAGCAUAUGGAGAUUCCCAGGCUAGGGGUCUAAUCGGAGCUGUAGCUGCUGGCUUACGCCAGAGCUACAGCAACGCGGGAUCUGAGCCUCGUCUGCAACCUACACCACAGCUCACGGCAAUGCCAGAUCCUCAACCCACUGAGCAAGGCCAGGCAUCGAACUUGCAACCUCAUGGUUCCUAGUCGGAUUCGUUAACCACUGUGCCACGACGGGAACUCCGGGGCCUCUAUUUUUUUACUCUUAUUCUAGACUCUGCAAAUGUUAGGGGUGGUCCUGCUGCUAAAAGUCUAUUCUUUCAUUUACUUGUUCAUUCAUUCAUUCAUUUACACAUGAACUUAUUUAAGGUCCAACUCUUCACUGAUGUUCUCUCUUUAAUGUGAUGUUAUCAUCAUACUUUUUUUUGCUUCUUUAGUCAGUUUCCUUCCCUUCACUGUUCAAAUUUAUAAAAGCUACUUUAAAGUCUUUUUCUGUUAAUUCUACUGUUUGCUCUUCCAGUCUGUUUCUGUUGCCUGCCCAGGAUCUGGGUCAAGACUUUCCUGCUUCUUUGUAUGUCUCAUAAUUUUUUUGUUGGAAACUGGACAUAUUGUAGCCACUCUCCUACUUCCUCACUCCCCUGCCCCAGGGAUUGUUAUUGUUAUUUGUCAGUUUAGAAUUUUUGUGAUUGGCUGGAUUGUUUUGAUGAACUUUCCUGCCCCCCCACUCCUUCCCCCACCCUCACAGGGCUCUGAUUUUGCUCCUUAGGGAAGCACAGCUUUGGGGGUGCCCAGGCAGCCUGAGAUGACUGGGUUGGGCAGAGCUUCUCCUUCCCUGACUGUGUCCAGCUGUGAGGCUCCACUACUGCUGGGUCACCUUAAGAGCAUGGGGAUAAGCCACCUGUGUACCUUCCUACUGCCCCAAAUAACUUGGAUUGCAAAUCACGGUGCCUGAAAACAUCUUUUUUAUGUCUUAAUGUCUUAAAGAUUCUUUUCUUCCUCCCAAGAACCCCAUAAUAAAAUGCAAAAAUGAA
rnacentral:lncRNA from 1 species